GCAUAACAUUCUCAUAUUCGUCAUCAAUGCACUAUGUAGGUUAUAUCGUAGAAAACGGGAUGUCUUGGCUAUAUUUAUUAUGUUUUGUAAUACGAAACUAUCAAUUAUUCUGUAAAAGUUAUCAUAUUGCCAGAUGGUUUUCAUUAGACACCAUUGAAAUUUAAAAAUGUCCAUUUUCGACUGCAUUACUUUUGAGUAGUGAAUUUCCGAUUGGGUUGAACUUCCAGUUGGUGACUCUUUGUAAGAGUCAUAUAACAAUCUGAAAACUUUUUUAUUUAAAUUUUGGAGUCGUUUUAAAGUCUGGUACCGGACCUGUAUAUUUUUGUGUUAUGACACUGAUGGUGUUCCAGUCAUCAGCACGAGGGUUAUAAACACAGUAAAUUAGAUCUAGUGUUUACUCUAAAAAUGGACUAAGAUGAAUUAUGUUCUAAAAUUAUUGUUAUUAAAGUUAUGGAAGAGAUCCAACUAGAUUGAGGAAUGAAAGACAAGCCAUUAAUCUUUUAUAAAUUUUGACUGAUCAUUGUGUUAGAAUGUGUUGUUUACCUAAUUUUUGUAAACAUCUAAUUGAGAUGGUGAGACCUUAUAUUGUAGUGCCUAUAAGAAUAGUUACACUAACAGAAAAAUUCAAGGUUUUAACUGAUUUAACAUUUUCCCACUGCUAGUAGUUAAUACAAAUAUUAAUACAUACAAAUUUUUGUAUGUAGGAAAUAAGUGACAUUCAACAAAGAGUUAAGCAUACAUGUCUGUUAGAAUAUUAAUGAAAUAUCUAAUGCCUUAUGUAAACCUGCAAUGUUGUAUAGCUGAAAAUUGCACAAUCUACUAGAAAAUGACCAUAUUCAAUUAUCUUAUUAUAUAAUAGAACAAGUAAAAAAUAAAUUAAUAUUAAAAUUGUUGAAAUAUCUUUUCAUAUCAAAUUUUUAUAUAUUUACAAUUAUUUUAACUAUGAGUAUAUAAAUUACAAUGAUACAUUAUUUUGAUAAAACUAUACUUAUCGUUUAGUAAGUACAUACUUACAUUUUAUAAUAUUGUAUGUUUUAAGAUUUUUCUCAUAUGAAUUUAUUAUCAUCACUCACUAAUAAGUUAUA